CUUUCUUUGCUGGCGACCGGCGCACGGGUGAGUAACACGUAUCCAACCCGCCCUUUACUCGGGGAUAGCCUUUCGAAAGAAAGAUUAAUACCCGAUAGCAUAAUGAUUCCGCAUGGUUUCAUUAUUAAAGGAUUCCGGUAAAGGAUGGGGAUGCGUUCCAUUAGGUUGUUGGUGAGGUAACGGCUCACCAAGCCUUCGAUGGAUAGGGGUUCUGAGAGGAAGGUCCCCCACAUUGGAACUGAGACACGGUCCAA
rnacentral:rRNA from 1 species